GGCAGUGGAAGAGUGUGUUAGUGUGUUCAGAGGAGGAGAGCGUGGAGCACUAUGCUGAAGACCUCUACAGACCAGAGACUACGCUGAAGUCUGUCUGUUGAACAAGAGCUGCCAGAACUAUGAUAACCAUGAGGUUGCGAUCACUUCCCCUCACAACACUUUUAACAGUGCUGCUGUGGUGUUUCCAUGGCAACACCGGGCUGGAGAUCAUCCCCGGCGACGCUGAGGUCAUCCUCAAGACUGACUCCGCCCACUCCAUCACCUGCACGGGUUCUGCACCUGUCACCUG